UGAGGAAUAUUGGUCAAUGGGAGAGAUCCUGAACCAGCCAAGCCGCGUGAGGGAAGACGGCCCUAUGGGUUGUAAACCUCUUUGUCGGAGAACAAAACCCGGGACGUGUCCCGGACUGCGUGUAUCCGAAGAAAAGCAUCGGCUAACUCCGUGCC
rnacentral:rRNA from 1 species